rnacentral:rRNA from 1 species
AGUGAACGCUGGCGGUAGGCCUAACACAUGCAAGUCGAACGGCAGCACAGUAAGAGCUUGCUCUUACGGGUGGCGAGUGGCGGACGGGUGAGGAAUACAUCGGAAUCUACUUUUUCGUGGGGGAUAACGUAGGGAAACUUACGCUAAUACCGCAUACGACCUACGGGUGAAAGCAGGGGAUCUUCGGACCUUGCGCGAUUGAAUGAGCCGAUGUCGGAUUAGCUAGUUGGCGGGGUAAAGGCCCACCAAGGCGACGAUCCGUAGCUGGUCUGAGAGGAUGAUCAGCAAAACUGCAACUGGGACAGGGCCCAAACUCCUACGGGAGGCACAAGUGGGAAAUAUUGGACAAUGGGCGAAAGCCUGACCCAGCCAUACCGCGUGGUGAAGAAGGCCUUCGGGUUGUAAAGCCCUUUUGUUGGGAAAGAAAAGCAGCAGGUUAAUACCCCGCUGUUCUGACGGUACCCAAAGAAUAAGCACCGGCUAACUUCGUG